GUCCACAAGUUUAAAGUCGCACAACGUGCAAUGGAACGGGCUAUGCUUGGGGUCUCUCUCAAAGACAGGAUUAGAAAUGAGACUAUCCGCGAGAGAACGAAAGUAACCGACAUAGCCCACAGAAUUAGCAAGUUGAAGUGGCAGUGGGCUGGUCAUCUGUGUCGCAGGACCGAUGGCCGUUGGAGUAGACGGCAGACGGGUCCUAGAGUGGAGACCGCGUCUUGGCAAACGCAGUGUGGGACGUCCUCCGGCCCGUUGGACCGACGAUCUACGUAAGAUUGCCGGUGUAGGCUGGAUGAGGAUUGCGGAAGACCGGGAUGUGUGGCGCGAACUUGGGGAGGCCUAUGUCAAGCAGUGGACUGCGAUAGGCUGAAGUGAAGUG
rnacentral:misc_RNA from 1 species